UGGCGUUCUCAUCCACUGAAC
rnacentral:piRNA from 1 species